UCCGUAGGUGAACCUGCGGAAGGAUCAUUAACGAGUUUUGAAACGGGUUGUAGCUGGCCUUCCGAGGCAUGUGCACGCCCUGCUCAUCCACUCUACACCUGUGCACUUACUGUAGGUCGGCGUGGGUUUCUGACCUCCGGGUUGGAAGCAUUCUGCUGGCCUAUGUCUAUUACAAACCCUUUAAAGUAUCAGAAUGUAAACGCGUCUAACGCAUCUUAAUACAACUUUCAGCAACGGAUAUCUUGGCUCUCGCAUCGAUGAAGAACGCAGCGAAAUGCGAUAAGUAAUGUGAAUUGCAGAAUUCAGUGAAUCAUCGAAUCUUUGAACGCACCUUGCGCUCCUUGGUAUUCCGAGGAGCAUGCCUGUUUGAGUGUCAUGUAUUCCUCAGCCCUCUCAGAGUUUUUCUCUCGAGUCCGGACUGGACUUGGAGGCUGCUGGUUUUAUUUUAAAUCAGCUCCUCUUAAAUGAAUUAGUGUGAAUAUUGCCAAAUGUUCUCCAGUGUAAUAAUUAUUUGCGCUGCAUGAACUGAGGCAGAUUUAAUAUGUUCAUGCUAUCUAACCGUCCCCAGUGGACAAUAAUA
rnacentral:rRNA from 1 species